rnacentral:lncRNA from 1 species
UACUUGCCCUUGAAAGUUUGCAGAUUAGGACUUGGAAGUGCUGGUAACAACAAUGGAGAUGAGGAAAAGAAAUGACUGACAGGUGGGUGUGUCUGCUGUGGGUGAGGUUACAGAGUCGUGGAUGGUUGGCAGGAUUGGUGAUGUAUUUUACUGAGAGUAGGGAGUGGUGUUUUCUGGAAGCACAUUGCAAAUGCAAACAAACAUGGGCUAGGCUUUGUGGGAUGAGAUGUUUGCCUACUGCUCCGGGGCUUCUGGGGAUAUUUUAUGGUAUAGGGUGGGAAGAGAGGUGUAGUAUUGAUUCAGGGUUUAGUUCUUAGCUUUGUGGAAGUGUUCAUUUUCUAUCCAACAAACUUUUUUGAGCCUUACCAUGAUGUCCUGACGCUAAGGUUAAAUUUGUGAGAUGAAAUAUGUCUGCUGCAAGCUUCUCCAAGACAAAUCAGGAAUUCACUAUAUGUUGAUUUACCAUUGUUACCAGGUAACAUGUAUUGUGUGCUCCCUAUCUCCUCUAUAUUGUGCUCAGUGCAUAUUGUACACAGUCAUUCAAUCUGAACAACAACUUAAUGGGCCACCUCUACGAGGCUUUUGAUAUUGAUUUGAAAAUGUUGCAUAUGAGUUAAGUAACUUGACAAAGUCAGCAACCCAAGGAGGAGCUGGAAUUUAGUGCUGGAGCUAAUCAGUGACAUAGAGAACAAUGUGAUCUUGACCAACCACACUUAAAAUUACUACAAUUCGACUCGACUACAAUGACUGGAAACAGAGAUUUGAAAGUUGGGACCUAACUUUGACCAUCAGAUAAGAAAAAUCUAAACUGGGUAUUGUAGAAUGUUUCCUGGUGUCCUCUUUGCUUCUGUUAUAUCAAGAAAAUCUCUCUUGCUCCUUAAUGCCAUUUUUGGACCCUGUGAGUCCAUAGCAAAGACACUCCCCUUGGCAUGUCUUGAGGUAGGAGUAGGAAAAUAGUUUCUUUGAGGCUGGCAUUGGAUUUGCUAGCAAAUUUUUUUCUGCCUCCACCUCUAUUUCUGUCAUGGCUCCCUUUGGCUUUCCUAGACAAUUAGAUAUUUGUUGGUCAACACAACAAUACUUACCAUUUGAUAUCUUCUAGUGACCUGCUAGCUUAUCAAUUUAUAGUGAAAAAUAGAACCGAUGCAAGCUUUACCAAACUGGCCAUUACACAGUGUCUCUCGAGGUCUUGGAAGCUGGAUUCUAAUAAGAAGGUUGCUUGGAAUCAGAACAAAGAUGGGUAGAUCAAUCAACUUUUUAAUGGUGUUGGCUAAGACUUCUGUUCAUCUCAUCUUCUGCUGGCCUGCCAGUCAGAGUAGAAUAUUCAAAGUCUGAAAUUCUUCAGCUUGAUUCUAAAGGAUGCAGCAGAAUUUCAAGCAACUCUUAGAUGAGCCCUGAGAAAC